rnacentral:rRNA from 1 species
UACGGGGGAGCAAACGUUGUUCGGAUUUACUGGGCGUAAAGGGCGCGUAGGCGGUCAGCACAAGUCAGUUGUGAAAUCUCCGGGCUUAACUCGGAAAGGUCAACUGAUACUGUGCGACUAGAGUGCGGAAGGGGCAACUGGAAUUCUUGGUGUAGCGGUGAAAUGCGUAGAUAUCAAGAGGAACACCUGCGGCGAAGGCGGGUUGCUGGGCCGACACUGACGCUGAGGCGCGAAAGCCAGGGGAGCGAACGGG